CUGAAUGAUGAAGUUUACUUUGACUGUAUGCUUUGGAUAAAAUUAACAAAUUGUACAUUGAAACAUAUUAACCAGAACAUUAACAAUAACACUGAUAGAGCUUGUGGUUUAUCUGUCAAUCAGAUGCGCUCUCGGUCACUGAUCUAUGCUCGAGACAUUUUCUUUUAGAAUUAUCAUUGGCUGAUAGAAAUAAAAAAUAGUAUUUUAGAUGGAAAUAAGAUCCUCAAUCACGACUCUAGAUUCCCAUUCUUUUUGGAAUCGAUUCCCAGCUCUAUUCUCAGCUUCUUCAGAAGAGAGGGAAAUACGGUUAAGGCAAGUAAACUUCAUAAUUCCAUCAUAUUAUUAUUAUAAUUUUUUUUUCUAAGAGUAAAAGAAUGUUUAUUUUUGUAGAUGUUGAAAGCCAGAGACAUAGGAGAGCAUCAUUCUUUUGAGACUGAUAACUCAUACCAACUUUGGAGUUGUCUGAUUUGGAGAGUCAUCAUUCUUGACCACUGAUGAAGAACAGGCGGUGACUGGGAUGAAUGCUGGUCAAAGAGGAGAAUGACCUUUACUCAAAACUGAUGCAACAGUGGUUUUAAUGGAGGACGCUACCCUGGAUAAUGUAAAAGAUGUCACAUGCCUUUGCUGUGCUGAUGGGGCUUCUUCAUGACUACAUUAAUUACGUUAAAGGGAUCAUGAAAAUUGGCAGUGAUGCAUGAUCAGUAUUCAUGGACUAUUGAAACAAACUAUGAGACAAUUUUAUACAGGAGAAAGCAAUAUUAUGGACAGAGGACUUGAGCUUGAAGUUUACAACAUCUUGAUGGAUUUGUUUCUUACAAACACGAAGCUUUUCACUUCUAAAGACGUUAAUUGAUGGAUUGGAGUCAUGUGGAUUACU